CUUUAGAGUUACCAAAGUGCGACGUAGUCGCAACAGUUGGGAAGCUGUGCCAUAGAGGGUGAAAGCCCCGUAGACGAAACGUCACACUCUCUGUUCAGGAUCCUGAGUACGGCGGGACACGGGAAACCCCGUCGGAACCCGCGAGGACCAUCUCGCAAGGCUAAAUACUCCCUAGUGACCGAUAGUGAACCAGUACCGUGAGGGAAAGGUGAAAAGCACCCCGGAAGGGGAGGGAAAUAGUUCCUGAAA
rnacentral:rRNA from 1 species